GAUGAACGCUGGCGGCGUGCCUAAUACAUGCAAGUCGAGCGAACAGACGAGGAGCUUGCUCCUCUGACGUUAGCGGCGGACGGGUGAGUAACACGUGGAUAACCUACCUAUAAGACUGGGAUAACUUCGGGAAACCGGAGCUAAUACCGGAUAAUAUAUUGAACCGCAUGGUUCAAUAGUGAAAGACGGUUUUGCUGUCACUUAUAGAUGGAUCCGCGCCGCAUUAGCUAGUUGGUAAGGUAACGGCUUACCAAGGCAACGAUGCGUAGCCGACCUGAGAGGGGGAUCGGCCAAACUGGAACUGAGACACGGUCCAGACUCCUACGGGAGGCAGCAGUAGGGAAUCUUCCGCAAUGGGCGAAAGCCUGACGGAGCAACGCCGCGUGAGUGAUGAAGGUGUUCGGAUCGUAAAACUCUGUUAUUAGGGAAGAACAAAUGUGUAAGUAACUAUGCACGUCUUGACGGUACCUAAUCAGAAAGCCACGGCUAACUACGUG
rnacentral:rRNA from 1 species